AUACGGAGGGUGCAAGCGUUGUUCGGAAUCACUGGGCGUAAAGGGCGCGCAGGCGGUUUGGUAAGUCAGAUGUGAAAGCCCACGGCUCAACCGUGGAAGUGCAUUUGAAACUGUCAGACUUGAGUACUAGAGGGGAAAGUGGAAUUCCCGGUGUAGAGGUGAAAUUCGUAGAUAUCGGGAGGAAUACCGGUGGCGAAGGCGACUUUCUGGCUAGAUACUGACGCUGAGGCGCGAAAGCGUGGGGAGCAAACAGGAGUAGAAACCCCGGUAGUCC
rnacentral:rRNA from 1 species